CCUCUUCGGAGUUGGAAUGUAGUUUUCCCCCGAGCAAUUGUACCACACCGAUAUGUUCUGAUUGUUGGAAGCGUACGCGAACAGAUGCGCAUCCAUAGUCGCCACUUGGAUUUCAUUUUCUGGGCAGUAAUUCUCGAAUAGUUCAGUUUGAAUUCUUGCCGCCCGCAAGACUUCUGCUUCUUGUUCCCCCAGAAGGGAUACUUGAUGUUUACCAAUUCUCCACAAUUGUAACUCUCACCGCAAACUUCAAAUGCAUCGAGGGCGCCUUCGUUGAAACAUGGUGAAAGAUGAAUCGCGAUGAAGAUUAUGAAGAAGUUGAUCUCGAAUACUUCAACUUUGAUGGUAUUGGAAGAAAGAAAUGGACAUACCAGGUCGAGGAGAAACUAUGCAGACGUAAGGACGAUGCUGAUCUUGGGUUUUGCAAAUGCAGUAAAAUUGUCAGUUGGAUGAAGAGGAAGAAGGCUGGGGUUGUUCAAUGGAUGGAGGUCCGACCAAGUUGGGUUCUGAUGGGAACAGCUCCGUAGACGUAAGGUUGCGCAUCUCCAUUUCCACAAAAGCAGUACAAGCCAUGUGUAGAAUUUCCUCCACACGUGCCACCAUUUUGAAUUCAUUGAUGGCGUCUACGCUGAAAUAUGGGGAAAAGGUGAACAGCGAUGAAGGAGAUCAUGUAAACGUUGCUAAUGGUGAAUGAGGUUUGGAUUCUCAUUUCCUUGAACUACUAAUGCUUCAGAAACAGAGCAUCAAUUCUAACUCGAGCUGAUGCUGAAGUGUCAGAAUUGCAGAGGUUAAAAAAAUAUAGGAGACGACGACUUUUACUUACCACUGCUUUCUUUGAAAUUGCUUUCCUGCUUGCAUUAAAUCAUACCAGCUUUGAACUAUUCAAUUGUUUACUUUACUUCAAGGAAAAAAGAUAUUCAAAUCUUAGUGUCUUCGACCAGGAGAUUUCAGUUGUGCUUGUGUAGGAGUUCCAACAGUAAAUGGAAAGUCUGUUUAUUGCAAUGUGAGCCUUCCCACAGUUAGGAACAGGAUUUUAGAACCUAAUUAUGACUAACCACUAAGCUUGGUUAAAGUAGAAGUUGAACUUCGAAUUAAAGCCAGCUUCAACUUCCUCAAGUGUAGGAUUGAUUAUAGAGCUGUAAAAACCCUUUCAUCCUGCUUAGUAAAUGGCGAUUAUGGCAGAGAUGAUUUUACUGUGAUUUUAAUUUUUACGAAUAAAUAAAUGCACAUAGUGUGAGAGUUUGAA